AACGAACGCUGGCGGCAUGCCUAAUACAUGCAAGUCGAACGAUCACUUCGGUGGUAGUGGCGCACGGGUGCGUAACGCGUGGGAAUCUGCCCUUGGGUUCGGAAUAACGUCGGGAAACUGACGCUAAUACCGGAUGAUGACGUAAGUCCAAAGAUUUAUCGCCCAGGGAUGAGCCCGCGUAGGAUUAGCUAGUUGGUGGGGUAAAGGCUUACCAAGGCGACGAUCCUUAGCUGGUCUGAGAGGAUGAUCAGCCACACUGGGACUGAGACACGGCCCAGACUCCUACGGGAGGCAGCAGUAGGGAAUAUUGGACAAUGGGGGCAACCCUGAUCCAGCAAUGCCGCGUGAGUGAUGAAGGCCUUAGGGUUGUAAAGCUCUUUUACCCGGGAUGAUAAUGACAGUACCGGGAGAAUAAGCCCAGGCUAACUCCGUGCCAGCCGCCGCCGUAA
rnacentral:rRNA from 1 species